CUACGGGAGGCAGCAGUGGGGAAUAUUGGACAAUGGGGGGAACCCUGAUCCAGCCAUGCCGCGUGUGUGAAGAAGGCCUUUUGGUUGUAAAGCACUUUAAGCGAGGAGGAGGCUACCGAGAUUAAUACUCUUGGAUAGUGGACGUUACUCGCAGAAUAAGCACCGGCUAACUCUGUGCCAGCAGCCGCGGUAAU
rnacentral:rRNA from 1 species